AUUGAACGCUGGCGGCAUGCCUUACACAUGCAAGUCGAACGGCAGCGGGCCUUCGGGUGCCGGCGAGUGGCGAACGGGUGAGUAAUGCAUCGGAACGUGCCAUUGAGUGGGGGGAUAACGUAGCGAAAGUUGCGCUAAUACCGCAUAUUCUGUGAGCAGGAAAGCAGGGGACCGCAAGGCCUUGCGCUCUUUGAGCGGCCGAUGUCAGAUUAGCUAGUUGGUGAGGUAAAGGCUUACCAAGGCGACGAUCUGUAGCGGGUCUGAGAGGAUGAUCCGCCACACUGGAACUGAGACACGGUCCAGACUCCUACGGGAGGCAGCAGUGGGGAAUUUUGGACAAUGGGGGCAACCCUGAUCCAGCCAUGCCGCGUGAGUGAAGAAGGCCUUC
rnacentral:rRNA from 1 species